UUGACUUAAUUUUUGGAUAUUGUAUUAUUUAAUAAUAAUUAAAAACUAUUUUUACCCUUAUUCUUUGAUUUAUUUUAUAACUGCCCAUUAAUAAAAAUACGUACAAAGACAUAAAUUUACUCAAGACAAUGGAAUAAAGUUAAGAAAUAAACCUUUACGAAUUUUAAAACUUGAAACUCUUGUAUUUUAUUUUUUUGCUGCUUUUUUAUCGUGUAUUUGUAUUUUUGUUUUUUC
rnacentral:lncRNA from 1 species